rnacentral:rRNA from 1 species
GACGAACGCUGGCGGCGUGCUUAACACAUGCAAGUCGAACGGAAAGGCCCUGCUUUUGUGGGGUGCUCGAGUGGCGAACGGGUGAGUAACACGUGAGUAACCUGCCCUUGACUUUGGGAUAACUUCAGGAAACUGGGGCUAAUACCGGAUAGGAGCUCCUGCUGCAUGGUGGGGGUUGGAAAGUUUCGGCGGUUGGGGAUGGACUCGCGGCUUAUCAGCUUGUUGGUGGGGUAGUGGCUUACCAAGGCUUUGACGGGUAGCCGGCCUGAGAGGGUGACCGGCCACAUUGGGACUGAGAUACGGCCCAGAAUCCUACGGGAGGCAGCAGUGGGGAAUAUUGCACAAUGGGCGGAAGCCUGAUGCAGCAACGCCGCGUGCGGGAUGACGGCCUUCGGGUUGUAAACCGAUUUCGCCUGUGACGAAGCGUGAGUGACGGUAAUGGGUAAAGAAGCACCGGCUAACUACGUG